UACGUAGGGUGCAAGCGUUAAUCGGAAUUACUGGGCGUAAAGCGUGCGCAGGCGGUUUUGUAAGUCUGUCGUGAAGUCCCCGGGCUCAACCUGGGAAUUGCGAUGGAGACUGCAAGGCUAGAAUCUGGCAGAGGGGGGUAGAAUUCCACGUGUAGCAGUGAAAUGCGUAGAGAUGUGGAGGAAUACCGAUGGCGAAGGCAGCCCCCUGGGAUAACACUGACGCUCAUGCACGAAAGCGUGGGGAGCAAACAGG
rnacentral:rRNA from 1 species